rnacentral:pre_miRNA from 1 species
CAUGUACUCCCUCCGUCCCAAAAUUAUUGUCUUAAAUUUGUUUAGAUAUGAAUGUAUCUAGUCAAGUUUUAGUAUUUAGAUACAUCUAUUUCUAGACAAACUUAAGACAAAAAUUUUGGGACGGAGGGAGUAUGAU